UGCAGUGGUUGGCAAUCCACAGGCCUUUGACGUUUCCUGUUCUAAAAUGGUUAGGCACAUUUUGUACCCUGCUCCAUCAUUUUUCUAUGCCUGUGAUACCUUAGUUGCCAGCCUCAGAAAAUGGCCUUGUUUCUCCUGGGUCUCUACCAGCAAGGUGCCCCCAGGGGUGUUCAUGAAGCAGCAGGGGAAGCUCGGCCUUAAACCUGGGGGCGCAGGGGCUGGGUUCCUGUGUUAGCACCGUGCUGGGGUUCUAAGUGGCACUCUUUUUUCUGCCUCAGAGCCAUGACUGACUCUGACGCCACACACCUGGAACCUGAGUCUCUUUAUUUACCCCAGUUGUUGACUUUGGGAGAGGGGAAGAUGGUGGAAAGGGCGUGGCGGGACAUGAGGACCCAGGUUAGUUCUGAUCUCCCUGCAGUUGGCGGUCUCGGACCCUCGAGGUCUGCUCUGGACUCGCAGGCCUUUCUCUGCAACGUGCACCUUGUACUUAAAUUAGAAAGUGUCAUUGAAAACGAAUUAUUUUUAUCAAAGUGACAUGUACCCAUCACAAAUUCAUCCCCCUCCCCAGAGGUAACUUGUAACAUGGUAAUAAGAUACAUUCUGUAGACAACAGGACACACAUCUGUUUUGAUAAUGUACAUGGUGUCACCUUAUGAGUGCUGUUCUGCAACUUGAUUUUGUAACUAAUGUACAUUUUCCCAAGUUGGAACCUAUAUUGGGAAACCUGCCUCAAUCUUCUCUAUGAGCUUCAGGGUGUUUCACUAUAUGACUGAAGUGUAAUUUAACUCUGCCUGCUUAUGAUUCACCCUAAAAAAUGUAAAGAAAAGACCUUUUAAAAAUCCCUUGUAUAAUGAGUAAAACUUAUUUUUUUUUAAAUGAACAUAGUAACUUUAGAAAACAUCAGUAUGUGGUAAAAUAAUGAAAAUGUCAUUUCAGUUUUCAUUUUCUUUCCCCUUUGUACGUGAGAUUUUAGAGAGAAUUUCCGUUAUUUGGCUUCUUUUUCAUCCAUCAUUUGUUAUAAGAGCAGAAACAGAAUUUUGUAACAUACUUGAGCU
rnacentral:lncRNA from 1 species